rnacentral:rRNA from 1 species
GACGAACGCUGGCGGCGUGCUUAACACAUGCAAGUCGAACGGAAAGGCCCUGCUUUUGUGGGGUGCUCGAGUGGCGAACGGGUGAGUAACACGUGAGUAACCUGCCCUUGACUUUGGGAUAACUUCAGGAAACUGGGGCUAAUACCGGAUAGGAGCUCCUGCUGCAUGGUGGGGGUUGGAAAGUUUCGGCGGUUGGGGUUGGACUCGCGGAUUAUCAGCUUGUUGGUGGGGUGGUGGCUACCAAGGCUUUGGCGGGUAGCCGGCCUGAGAGGGUGACCGGCCACAUUGGGACUGAGAUACGGCCCAGACUCCUACGGGAGGCAGCAGUGGGGAAUAUUGCACAAUGGGCGGAAGCCUGAUGCAGCAACGCCGCGUGCGGGAUGACGGCCUUCGGGUUGUAAACCGCUUUCGCCUGUGACGAAGCGUGAGUGACGGUAAUGGGUAAAGAAGCACCGGCUAACUACGUG